AGAGGAUCCCGAGCUGGAGGAAGAGCUUCAGGCUGCUGACGAACUCCUUCAAGAUAUGCAGAAUGAUGCACAGAGUGAACCUCAGCCAAGACCAGUGCGCUGGAAAACACGUGACAGACAGGGAGCUUUUAUUCCUCAAAGACCAUCAACCAGUCGAAGUACUAGUUGCAUGCCACGUGUGUCCAGAGAGCAGCAUCAAUGUCCACGUGAAGAACCUGGUUAUGUUGCCAGUGUCAACCCAACAAAAGGUACUUUACCUUCUUGU